AUGGGAUUCAUCCUGAUGCUCUCUUAGAGGAAGGUCUGGGACCAGACCAAAUCGUCACCAUCUUCCGGAUCUGGCUUCACAGGCAAUUUGUGGUGCUUAGACUAAGAUUGGCAAACUGGACAAAACUUAGUAAUUGGGCUGAGUAACGCAUCUUCAAAGCAUUGAAUCCAGAAAGCCCACUGCGAAGGUCUCUUGGC
rnacentral:lncRNA from 1 species